GCCGGCAUAGCUCAGUUGGUAGAGCAGCUGAUUUGUAAUCAGAAGGUCGCGGGUUCGAUUCCUGCUGCCGGCACCA
rnacentral:tRNA from 8 species